GUGGGGAAUAUUGCGCAAUGGGGGAAACCCUGACGCAGCAAUACCGCGUGAGUGAAGAAGGUUUUCGGAUCGUAAAACUCUUUUAUUGGGGAAGAAGAAGUGACGGUACCCAAUGAAGAAGUCCCGGCUAACUACGUGCCAGCAGCCGCGGUAAUACGUAGGGGACAAGCGUUGUCCGGAAUCACUGGGCGUACAGGGCGCGUAGGCGGUUUUAUAAGUCAGAUGUGAAAGGUACCGGCUCAACCGGUGACGUGCAUUUGAAAAUGUAAGACUUGAGUACUGGAGAGGCAAGUAGAAUUCCUAGUGUAGCGGUGAAAUGCGUAGAUAUUAGGAGGAACACCGGUGGCGAAGGCGGCUUGCUGGACAGAUACUGACGCUGAGGUGCGAAAGCGUGGGGAGCGAACAGGAUUAGAUACCCGGGUAGUCC
rnacentral:rRNA from 1 species